rnacentral:tRNA from 1 species
GGUUUCGUAGCUCAGCCGGUAGAGCGCUUGCCGUGAUGAGGCAUGUUGUGUCUGUCGCUGGCUCGAAUCCAGCCGAAGCUC